GAAAAUUGCUGCUACUGCUGACAUUCCAAUGCUGCUCUGUGGCGAUUUUAAUUCAGCGCCUGGAAGUGCUCCUCAUGCACUUGUUUCAAUGGGGAAAGUUGAUCCAAUGCAUCCAGAGUUAGCAGUGGACCCUUUUGGUAUUUUGCGUCCAGCCACAAAGUUAACAUCAUCUGCCAUUGGUAAGUGCUUACACAUCCUUUGCCCGAGUACCUGUGGUUCCUGGACUAGCUCAGAAACGGAGGAAGCUUGAUCCCAGUACGAAUGAACCUUUGUUUACAAGCUGCACCAGAGAUCAUUUUGGGACUCUUGAUUAUAUAUUCUAUUCUGCCGACUCUGUAACAGUUGAAUCGUUGUUAGAGCUCUUGGAUGAGGAAAGCUUGAGAAAAGACACAGCACUUCCUUCUCCAGAG
rnacentral:misc_RNA from 1 species